GUGCCAGCAGCCGCGGUAAAACGUAGGAGGCUAGCGUUAUCCGGAUUUACUGGGCGUAAAGCGCGUGCAGGCGGUGUUCUAAGUUGGGCAUAAAAUCUCCCGGCUCAACUGGGAGGGGCUGUCCAAUACUGGGGCACUUGAGGGUAGGAGAGGGAAGUGGAAUUCCCGGUGUAGCGGUAAUAUGCGCAGAUAUCGGGAGGAACACCAGUGGCGAAGGCGGCUUCCUGGUCUACACCUGACGCUAAGACGCGAAAGCUAGGGGAGCGAACGGGAUUAGAUACCCCGGUAGUCCUAGCUGUAAACGAUGGAUACUAGGUGUUGGUGGUAUUGACCCCAUCAGCGCCGAAGCUAACGCGUUAAGUAUCCCGCCUGGGGACUACGACCGCAAGGUUAAAACUUAAAGGAAUUGACGGGG
rnacentral:rRNA from 1 species